CGACUCCAUGAAGCUGGAUUCGCUAGUAAUCGCGCAUCAGCCACGGCGCGGUGAAUACGUUCCCGGGCCUUGUACACACCGCCCGUCAAGCCAUGGGAGCCGGGGGUACCUGAAGUGCGUGACCGCAAGGAGCGCCCUAAGGUAAAACCGGUGACUGGGGCUAAGUCGUAACAAGGUACC
rnacentral:rRNA from 1 species